GUAGGUGGCAAGCGUUGUCCGGAAUUAUUGGGCGUAAAGCGCGCGCAGGCGGGUCCUUUAAGUCUGAUGUGAAAGCCCACGGGCUCAACCGUGGAGGGUCAUUGGAAACUGGGGGACUUGAGUACAGAAGAGGAAAGCGGAAUUCCAAGUGUAGCAGUGAAAUGCGUAGAGAUUUGGAGGAACACCAGUGGCGAAGGCGGCUUUCUGGUCUGUAACUGACGCUGAGGCGCGAAAGCGUGGGGAGCAAACAGGAUUAGAUACCCUGGUAGUCCACGCCGUAAACGAUGAGUGCUAAGUGUUAAGGGGUUUCCGCCCCUUAGUGCUGCAGCUAACGCAUUAAGCACUCCGCCUGGGGAGUACGGCCGCAAGGCUG
rnacentral:rRNA from 1 species